rnacentral:rRNA from 1 species
UACGUAGGGUGCAAGCGUUGUCCGGAAUUAUUGGGCGUAAAGAGCUCGUAGGCGGCUUGUUGCGUCGACCGUGAAAACCCGGGGCUCAACUUCGGGCUUGCGGUCGAUACGGGCGGGCUAGAGUUCGGUAGGGGAGACUGGAAUUCCUGGUGUAGCGGUGAAAUGCGCAGAUAUCAGGAGGAACACCGGUGGCGAAGGCGGUUCUCUGGGCAUGAUCUGACGCUGAGGAGCGAAAGUGUGGGGAGCGAACAGG